UACUAAUACCCGUGCUCCCUACUUCUGAAGUGUCUCAGCGUGCUGUGAUCAAUGAAUGGACAAUCCAAAUGCUGAGAGAUCAUUUAGUUGGAACGUCCUCGGGGUGGAACAGUGACUUGUGCCUGAAACUGCCAUCGUUGCAGACUGCUUGCUGCUUCCUUCACUUGAGGAUUUCAAGUUCCUUCCUUGACAAUGAAGAUGCAGUAAGCAUGGACUGUUUGCAGGUAUUUGUGAAUGAAUUUAGCUGAAUAUGGAUCCAGGUGGUGGAAGUCUUGGGCUGCAAGCGCAAGAAUCCAAAAUGCCUCACACUAUGAUUAUGCAGGACUUUGUGGCUGGAAUGGCCGGCACUGCUCAUAUUGAUGGAGACCAUAUCGUUGUGUCAGUCCCCGAAGCUGUCCUAGUGUCCGAUGUUGUUACUGAUGAUGGAAUAACCCUGGAUCAUGGCUUAGCAGCUGAAGUUGUCCAAGGACCUGACAUCAUCACUGAAACUGAUGUUGUAACGGAAGGUGUAAUUGUUCCCGAUUCUGUUUUGGAAACUGAUGUUGCUAUCGAAGAAGCUUUAGAUACCAGCGAUCAUGUUUUGACUUCUGAUCUAAUAACAGAAACUGUUAGAGUUCCUGAUCAGGUGUUUGUGGCUGAUCUUGUUACGGGUCCUGAUGGACACUUGGAGCACGUGGUGCAAGACUCUGUGUCGGGAGCCAACUCGCCUACAAUGGUUUCGGAGGAAGUCCUUGUAACGAACUCAGAUUCUGAGGCAGUCAUUCAAGCAGCUGGUACUGUUCCUGGCUCCACGGUGACUAUAAAAACGGAAGAUGAUGAUGAUGGCAAGAGCACAUCUGAAGACUACUUAAUGAUAUCUUUGGAUGAUGUUGGAGAAAAACUGGAUCAUAUAGGAAGCACUCCCUUGAAAAUCAGUACUGAGGUGGCAAAUGAAGAAGUUGCUAAAGAUGAUGGGUUUGGUUCAGAAGUUAUCAAAGUGUACAUAUUUAAAGCUGAAGCUGAAGAUGAUGUCGAAAUAGGUGGAACAGAAAUUGUCACAGAGAGUGAUUUUCACAAUGGACAUUCAGUAGCUGGAGUAAUUGAACAAGGUGGUGUUGGUAGAAUGCAGCGAGAAAAAAUGGUUUACAUGGCUGUUAAGGACUCUUCUCAGGAAGAUGAAGAUAUUAGCUGUGCUGAAAUAGCAGAUGAAGUUUAUAUGGAAGUUAUUGUAGGUGAGGAAGAAGCUACAUCACUUCCAGACACACAGCUUGAAGACUCUGGUGUGAAUAAAACUUUUGUCCCUGUUGCUUGGGCUGCUGCUUACGGAGAUGAAAGACGACUACCCAGAAGAUAUGAAGAUGGUCAAGCGGCAGGGAAUAACUUGGAUACACGAUUAGAAAACAAAAACGGUAAUGCAACACAAUACCUGCAGAUUUGUGAUAGCAUUAGCACUAAUAGAGUGCUAAAACAAAAAAACAAGAAAAGGAGGAGAGGAGAGGCCAGGCAAUGGCAAACAGCUGUUAUAAUAGGUCCUGAUGGACAGCCCUUAACAGUUUACCCUUGUCAUAUAUGUGGGAAAAAAUUUAAAUCCAGAGGAUUCUUGAAAAGGCAUAUGAAGAAUCAUCCAGAUCAUAUGAUUAAGAAGAAAUACCAGUGUACAGACUGUGACUUUACAACUAACAAAAAAACGGAAGGAGAUUCUUCAUAGCAGACUGAAGAUGAUCGUUCUGCCUCUGUGACCAAGCACAGAUCCGUGCUGGCUCAUUUUUCCAGCUUAAGGAUGGAGAGAAUAACCAGUGGAACAGUGAAAUGGACAGUGAAACCUAACUGGGAAGAAACAUUGUGGGGACAAGGUCUGUUGAAGAGAGAAAAAUAACUCACACAGCAUUAAGGUUAAUGUAUUGCUAUCCAUAUGUUGUUGGACUUUAAACAGUGUCAAAAAAUAAUUGUCAGACUUCUUGCUUGAGCAGUGGUUUUAGAAUUCAGUAGCUAAUGUCACUAGGAGAGUGUAUGCUUCUGCUUGGCCCUUUGCUGGUUCUGUCCAGUGCUGGUUAGGUAGAUGUUGAUGACUGAGCCUGGACUUGGGUAUUUUUCUGUAGUUUGAAAUCCCCAUCAGUGCUUCUGCUUCUUCUAGAACUGUUGUCUUCGUAGCUGCAGAUGUUGAAGCUUCUUGUAAUUGUCUUCCCAAGUUAGAAGGGGAAUAGGCAAAGAAGGGGUGUUGGAGUUAUUAGGAGGGCUUUGGUAGUUUAAAAAAAGAAAAAGUUGUGGUGGAUGGAAAGAAGAAGGAAUCACCAAAACCAAGCGUAUGCAGUGUGUUGCUGAUGUGAUGUUGGGGCUGUGGAGGAAAAGAUGUAGAAGCUGGGUUUAGGGAGAAUAAAGGAAUGCAGAAGCUGGACAAGGAGAAACCCGAGAGGAAGUGGUAGUAUAUACAGUGCUCCUAUUUCGUGCAUGUUGUUUGAGUAAUGUAGGGUAUUUUUAUAUAUCACUUGUGUAGGUAUUCUCCCAACAGAAGGUAGGAUUCUGGUAGAGCCUCCCCUACUUCCCACUUCCUUACACCCAUGUUUCCUCAUUAUUAAAUAAUACUUCCCCCGUAUUAUUUCUGUAUUAGCACUAGUGGUUGAUUGGUCUCCUCAGCAUAAGCUUUUACCUAAAAUGUAAGAAGAAAAAUCCACCUGAAUCCUCAGCAGCUCGAGGCAGUUCCUAAAUUCUUCUCGGUGUGCUUUCCCAGUAAAUAUUUAAGAGAACUUGUGAUGGCUGUGUUACUUUUACCGUGGAGGUGUCAUGAUUUUAAAAAUGCAUUGUGUCAAAUCACAGUAAAAUUCUUCUGUCUCAGUACCUCUGCAGAUCCCUGCUCUGCGUAGUCUGUAACUCUGCCCUGACUGGCUCCCUCCCCUGAGCUGGCAGCAAACCGCCUUCCGUUUACCCAGACCGAUACAACCUUAAGAUGGGACGAAGUGCAGACAGGCCCUGCCUAUUCAUUUUCAAAGCAGAUGAGUUCCUAAGUGGUAGCAGGAAGUGAGUGAAGGAGAGACACUGCCACCUGUAAGCUUUGUAAGUCUUGUGACUAAAUGUUUCAUUCAACGGUAGAGUUGGUGGUAUCAUACUCUAUUACUUCUCCUGCAAACCCUGAAUGAAGUCUCCCAUCGCUGCUGUCAGGUUGCACGGUCUCUGCUCUUUUAGAGGUAGUCUUCAGUAGACAUGAUCAUCUUCCGUGCCAUACAUCCUUUCCUUAUUGAAGUUCACCUAUGUCUUGCCUUUUGCCAUGCUUUCAGUAAGGGCUGUGAGCUGUUUUGAAAAGAGGAAAGGUUUGUGCUUUUCAAAUUGUUGCAAAUCUCCUGUGCAGGGACACUAACAAAUAGGAGGAAGUACCUUUCCAAGCCUUUGUGGUAGGAUGCCACCCAAAACACGAUGAGUAGGAAAGGUGACCUGUGCUGUAAAGCUGUUUGCCGCCUGGGAGCACAACACCGAGGUAGUUCAGCUGUUCUCGACUGUGUGUGGAUUUCUUCUGUGCUUGCUUCCUGUGGUGAUGUGCGUGAUGUACAAACACGUCAUGUUCGCUUGAGCAAGCAGCAGGUUUCAGUACAUGUGGAAGGGUUGCUCUGAGUGUCAGAGUUGUUUACUGCAUUUCUUUGAAUGACAGACUAAGAACUAAAAGGUGGAAACAGUUAAAAUUAAUUCAUGUCUGAUUCAUCAUCUGUAUUGUUUUUCUUCAGGUUUCAAAUAACCACAAUUAAAGGUAAUGAAAUUGAGAGAGCGAGAAUAUGGAAGGACACCAGCAGCGCAGUCUCAAGGUAAAGGUCAAGGUAAAGGUAUGUUACCUUGAUGUAGUAUUCAAAGCCUAUGUUGACUUUUCAGGCAGAAUGCUAGAGGUGUCAUUAACUUUUAAACCAGGACUGUAUUUGGCUUUUGUUUCACAGCUGAGGCAGAAGAAACCAUUCCGCAUUACAUAGUUGGGUGGAAAAAAACAGUAACAGAAACCAGAAGACAGCUUUUUUUCUCCUACCUUUCGAUGUAAGAACCAGAAAUUGUGUGCUGUCACCUCACUUCAGGCAGUGAGGGUUAAUCCUGUUGAUAAUUUAACAGGGCAGUACGUUCAUUGCUGUAAAUACAUGAAGUAAAUGCUGUCUUUGAUUUUUCUAAUUUGCUUCUGCAAAAAUGUAGAAAUAUCAGUGGAUAUACCUGAAAUCGAGGUGAAAAAUUUUCUGAAGUAUACUGUUUGUAGUUUGAGCGUUAACUAGAAUGUACAGAGAUGAGUAAGUGAGAAAAGUGCAUUGCUGUAAACUCCAGAAGAAAUGUUAGGUCAGUCAGUUUCUGUUCAAUGGAAGAGAGGCAGCGGAUGAGACUACAGCAAAUACCAUAUAUUUUUAUAAUAAAAAAUAAAAAUUCUGCUUUUUAAGUAAGUCUGGUUUUAAAACAAAACCAGCUUCAAAUGGCCACUAUGCUUCAUCUUCUAGUCUAGCUCAGCUUUUUGACAAGUAUCUAUUGCGUCGUGUUUUCUGGGAGUAAAGUAUGUUGUUACAGCAAUCAGUGCUGUAGCAUGUGCAGUAUAGGGCGGUUUUAAAAUAGUCUUAUAAGCCUUAGGGCAGCUGAUCCUUGCUACACAAUAUAAUAUUGGCAUCUGACUUUCCUGGUUAGUGAACUAGGCUUUUUUUUUUAAAAUAGGCUGUUAGCCACUAGCAUGGGGAACAAUUAGGGUGUUUUCAGAUCUGUCUUAAUGCCAGUUGUAUAUGGGAGACAGUUCACUUGCUAAUCAUGGCACUUGUCAUCAAAUUACAGUGCCCAACCAGCUCUGACUGUAUUCAGAGCCUGUACUUUUUCCUGUCUUUUAAGGGCGUUUACUGCUUUGCUUAUGCUAUUACACAGUCUGAAGUCAUACGGAGCUAAAGAAACGGUUUAAUAUUAUUUGCUAGAAAGAUUAGUAAAUACACUGAAAAGAGUGUAAAGUAUGUCCACUAAUAACUGAUGGUUCUGCUGUUCACAGCUUCUUUCUUUGGAACUGUUUGUAUAAUGCUUCCAGCCAGUCAAGCCCAGCUGCAAUCAUGGCAAAGACCACAAUUGCUGCAAGUGUGACUGAAGAACAGAUGCAGAUGCUAGUCCUGUCAAGAACAGCAAGUCCACGACAGCACGGCAUACCCUCCUCUUCUGAGAGAAAAGAUUUCUGGAACACCAAACUGACAUAGCAGACAUAAGGCCAAUACCUUCCUCCUAUCUUUUCCACAUGCUGUAGUAAACAACUGUACAGGUCAUUGGUCUUGCGGUUCAGUUCGGCAAGGAGCUCACCAAAG